rnacentral:rRNA from 1 species
GAUGAACGCUGGCGGCGUGCCUAAUACAUGCAAGUCGAGCGAACGGACGAGAAGCUUGCUUCUCUGAUGUUAGCGGCGGACGGGUGAGUAACACGUGGAUAACCUACCUAUAAGACUGGGAUAACUUCGGGAAACCGGAGCUAAUACCGGAUAAUAUUUUGAACCGCAUGGUUCAAAAGUGAAAGACGGUCUUGCUGUCACUUAUAGAUGGAUCCGCGCUGCAUUAGCUAGUUGGUAAGGUAACGGCUUACCAAGGCAACGAUGCAUAGCCAACCUGAGAGGGUGAUCGGCCACACUGGAACUGAGACACGGUCCAGACUCCUACGGGAGGCAGCAGUAGGGAAUCUUCCGCAAAGGGCGAAAGCCUGACGGAGCAACGCCGCGUGAGUGAUGAAGGUCUUCGGAUCGUAAAACUCUGUUAUUAGGGAAGAACAUAUGUGUAAGUAACUGUGCACAUCUUGACGGUACCUAAUCAGAAAGCCACGGCUAACUACGUG